CACACCGCCCGUCGCUACUACCGAUUGAAUGAUUUAGUGAGGCCUUCGGACUGGCGGUCUUGGACUGGGCUCCACUCGCCAUCACCCCAGCAAUGGGGGGCGGUGGACUCGCCAUGACGAGCCGGAAAGAUGUCCAAACUUGAUCAUUUAGAGGAAGUAAAAGUCGUAACAAGGUUUCCGUAGGUGAACCUGCGGAAGGAUCAU
rnacentral:rRNA from 1 species